GUGUGUGUGUGUGUGUGUGCGUGUGUGUGGUCAAAAAUACAACAGGGUGGGGGAACUGACAGGCUGUACUAUAGUCAAGGAAGAUGAAAAACUGAAGCAACAACCCAGAACAGCCAGUUUCCACCUGAUGCUGCAUGCUUGAAGUUAUCAGCUCAGAGUUAUACAGACAGGUGCACUGCAGGAUAUCAGGUGAAAUUAAGUCAGCAGUUGGAAGCAGAUCAGUUGCAGCUCAGCCAGCAGGAUGAGAAGAAUCAAAGCAGUCAGUCAAUACCUAAAGCAACUAGUCCUUCAAGUCUUCCAGUCACAGUCACGAGUCACCAUCCCAGCAGCCUCUAAGAAAGAAAACUGUCGACUUAAUGGAGAGAAAUAAGAAAAGCCUUUCCCUGUUUAUUCUGCUGCCUGUGCUGCUGCUCUGCACAAGUGAUGAGUGUCCCAGGCUUCCAGAGAAUCUCACUUGCUACACUGACUACAAUAGAAACAUCACAUGUUUGUGGAACAGCAAUACGUGUCUGAUGACACUGCAUGCACCAUACAUGCUCACUAUAAAUCUCGCUACAUUUCUUACAGCGCUUCCUGUGACCUAAAGUCUGUUGACGUCUCCAGACCAGCGCUAAAGAAGUGCUCCCUGAUCUUUGAAAAGAAAAGCACUGUGAGUGUGUAAA